UGCUUGGUUCAAUUUGCAUAUUGUAAAUACCCUCACAUAGAAUUCCAUGCAGUGUCACGACGUGGGCCCCUCAGUGGAGCAUGACUAUGAAGAUCCAGAAGAUGGAGCCAUGGUUGCAGCAGUGGUCUGAGGCAGAACAGGACACUGUCCAAGAGGACCGUCCUUACGACCCCUCUACGUACCAGCUUUACCUACAGUGGUAUGUGCCGAGGACCCGGACUCGGCUGCUCCGCGUGUAGGAGCCGCUUCAGCCCGUACUAACCUUUAACCAGGGCACCUUGGAUGGGCGUUACACCUUGCGGGGGACUACUCGAGCGAGAUCGAGGAGGAGGGGCGUUGGGCAUGAUGACUUGGCUUUGCCAAGGUUCAAUGCUGCUGCCUGUCGAGGAUGUGAUCUCGUUGCUUCAACACCUCGUCCUCAAGGAAAAUUUUGCAGCAUCGCUGAGGCCGCAUCGUGGCGUCACACGAUGGAAGGAAUCAGUACCAUGCAACUUCGACUAGCCAUUUCUCUGCUUGUUCAGCUAGCAUUGUCCGUGCUCAUACAGUGCGCGAAUUAUAUGGAACUUGCAUGGCUGAGUUUCGAACCAAAGCUCAUAGCAUUCUGCUGCAAAUUAGCCUCUCGCUUCCUUCAUCUGUUCCACUAACCAUCGAUGGGACGCUCAGCAAGCAUAAUUAUCUAAUAAUUUGCUUAUCGGUUUCUUCAAUGGAUUCAACCAGCGUCACCCAGGAUUUCAUAGCGCAGCCUCAUCAACUACACACAAGAAUAUCGUAUAUACUUUGUGAACCGACAUUUAUGUUGUUUAAAUUCCGUUUUCGCAGGAAAAAGUGGAUAUGGCAACGAUUCGCAUCGAAGGGCCCAACCAUUAUUCAUCCUACUAGCUACAUCACCACGUCUUUACAGUAUCAUCUUUCGUUCUCCUAAUAUCGCCUUGCACCAUCUUACCAAUGUUAUUCCCAAGACCAUGUGAUGGUGCAGUUAAGCAUGGACACCACCAGUUUAAACCUCCUAGCUACUUAAUGCCACUCAAGUAAUCUGCAAUGAUUCAUGUAAUAUAUUCUAUCCAGCUUUAGUUUGUAUCAUAUUCAGUGAUGUUGCUGAUGCCUACAACCUAUCA